UACGUAGGGAGCCAGCGUUGUCCGGAUUUACUGGGCGUAAAGAGCGCGUAGGCGGUUUGAUCAGCGGAGGGUGAAAUCCCGGGGCUCAACUCCGGGGCUGCUCUCCGAACUGUCAGACUAGAGUACGGGAGAGGACAGUGGAAUUCCUGGUGUAGCGGUGGAAUGCGUAAAUAUCAGGAGGAACACCCGUGGCGAAGGCUGCUGUCUGGAACGUUACUGACGCUGAGGCGCGAAAGCUAGGGGAGCGAACGGGAUUAGAUACCCCGGUAGUCCUAGCUGUAAACGAUGGACACUAGGUGUUGGAGGCAUCGACCCCUUCAGUGCUGUUCUGCUAACGCGUUAAGUGUCCCGCCUGGGGAGUACGGCCGCAAGGUUGAAACUCAAAGGAAUUGACGGGGGCCCGCACAAGCGGUGGAGCAUGUUGGUCAAUUGGAUUCAACGCCGGA
rnacentral:rRNA from 1 species